rnacentral:rRNA from 1 species
UACGUAAGUGGCAAGCGUUAUCCGGAAUUAUUGGGCGUAAAGCGUCCGUAGGUGGUUGGCCAAGUCUGCUGUCAAAGGGUGGGGCUUAACCUCAUAAAGGCAGUGGAAACUGGCGAGCUAGAGUGCGGUAGGGGUAGGGGGAAUUCCCAGUGUAGCGGUGAAAUGCGUAGAGAUUGGGAAGAACAUCGGUGGCGAAAGCGCCCUGCUGGGCCUGCACUGACACUGAGGGACGAAAGCUAGGGGAGCGAAAGGG